rnacentral:rRNA from 1 species
UUUGGAUAACUGUGGUAAUCCUAGAGCUAAUACAUGCAAUCAAGUCCCGACCAGUCUGACUGGGAAGGACGCUUUUAUUAGAUCAAGACCAAUCGCCCGGCUUCGGUCGGGCGUUUCCUUGGCGACUCUAGGUAACACAUCAGAUCGCAUGGUCUCGCACCGGCGACUUAUCUUUCAAAUGCCUGACUUAUCAACUGUCGAUGGUAGACUCUAUGUCUACCAUGGUUGUAACGGGUAACGGGGAAUCAGGGUUCGAUUCCGGAGAGGGAGCCUGAGAAACGGCUACCACAUCCAAGGAAGGCAGCAGGCACGCAAAUUACCCACUCCCGGCACGGGGAGGUAGUGACAAAAAAUAACGAUACGGGACUCAUAUGAGGCCCCGUAAUCGGAAUGAGUACACUUUAAAUCCUUUAACAAGGAUCCAUUGGAGGGCAAGUCUGGUGCCAGCAGCCGCGGUAAUUCCAGCUCCAAUAGCGUAUAUUAAAGUUGUUGCGGUUAAAAAGCUCGUAGUUGGUUCUGCGUGCUACGCUGUCGGUUCGCCGCCUGCCGGUGUAACUGGCAUGCCGUGGCAUGUCCUGUCGGUGGCGUUCGGGAGCCUUGUCUAGGUGAGACCUCCGAACUUCACGGAACGGGUGGUUAUUCAACCGGAGGCCUCCCCGUUCGCCUACUCUAUCCUACCUAGGUGCUCUUCACCGAGUGUCGAGGUAGGCCGACACGUUUACUUUGAACAAAUUAGAGUGCUCAAAGCAGGCUGAAAUUUCUGCCUGAAUAGUGGUGCAUGGAAUAAUAAAACAGGACCUCGGUUCUAUUUUGUUGGUUCUUAGGAACACGAGGUAAUGAUCAAUACGGACAGGCGGGGGCAUUCGUAUUGCGUCCUCCGAUGAGGCGGGGCCGGGAAACCAAAGCUUUUGGGUCCCGGGGGAAGUAUGGUUGCAAAGCUGAAACUUAAAGGAAUUGACGGAAGGGCACCACCAGGAGUGGAGCCUGCGGCUUAAUUUGACUCAACACGGGAAACCUCACCAGGCCAGGACAUUGGAAGGAUUGACAGAUUGAUAGCUCUUUCUUGAUUCAGUGGGUAGUGGUGCAUGGCCGUUCUUAGUUGGUGGAUCGAUUUGUCUGGUUAAUUCCGAUAACGAACGAGACUCUAGCCUAUUAACUAGGCGUUUCCGGUGCCCUCGUCACCGGCGACACUCAUUCUUCUUAAGGGGACAGGCGGCUUAUAGCCGCACGAGAUUGAGCAAUAACAGGUCUGUGAUGCCCUUAGAUGUCCUGGGCCGCACGCGCGCUACACUGAAGGAAUCAGCGUGUGCCUCCCUGGCCGAAAGGCCCGGGUAAUCCGCUGAACCUCCUGCGUGCUAGGAAUUGGGGCUUGCAAUUGUUCCCCAUGAACGAGGAAUUCCCAGUAAGCGCGAGUCAUAAGCUCGCGUUGAUUACGUCCCUGCCCUUUGUACACACCGCCCGUCGCUACUACCGAUUGAAUGAUUUAGUGAGGUCUUCGGACUGGCGGUAAUCCCUAUCGACUCGUCGGUAUCGAUGAACGCUGGAAAGAUGACCAAACUUGAUCAUUUAGAGGAAGUAAAAGUCGUAACAAGGUUUCC